rnacentral:rRNA from 1 species
UACGAAGGGGGCUAUCGUUGUUCGGAAUCACUGGGCGUAAAGCGCACGUAGGCCGAUUGGUCAGUUGGGGGUGAAAUCCCGGGGCUUAACCUCGGAACUGCCUUCAAGACUGCAGGGCUUGAGUUCGGGAGAGGUGAGUGGAAUUCCCAGUGUAGAGGUGAAAUUCGUAGAGAUUGGGAAGAACACCAGUGGCGAAGGCGGCUCACUGGCCCGUAACUGACGCUGAGGUGCGAAAGCGUGGGGAGCAAACAGG